CACAUCAAGAAGCUUCUGGAAUUGGCUGUGGUUAAUUUUGGGUCUGCUCCAAUAGGUUCCCUGUUGCUGGGGUCAGACUCCAUGAGGGCAAGCGGCCAGGGCAGCUGCUUUGCAGAAGGCCACGUGCCCUGUGUGAGUUGAGAGAAGCUGAGCCCAGGAGCAGGCUGUUGUCCCUAACUCUGAAGCAUUUUGCAGCAGGUCAGUGAUAUUGUUACCCUCCAACAGGGAAGCCUGGACAAUGGGUUUUCUUUAAAUCUAUACACUUGUGACUUAACUGAGUGGGUUGGUUAAUCAGUUAGCUGACGGGCUAGCAGUGAUUUCAGCAGAGGAAGAGUCUGCCUGGAUUCCAACUGAAGAUUCCUACAAGCAAAUGGAGGGAAGAUGUUUUAGACUCAGCAGAUUGUAUUGAUUUGGUGAUCAAAGACUCUGAGACUUAGGUGAACUAAACCUAAGGGUUUGGGAAACUCUUCGCACUGUUUCUGUGGGGACUGAACUGUUCAGAUUUUAAUUUUUCUUUGUUUAUGUAUAACUGAAGAUAAUGGCUGUGGAUUAUAAAAUAGCCAUGUCAUGCUGAAAAAAUUAGAUUGUUUCUUUAUCAUAAGAUUUUGUAAAGUUAUUUAAUUAAA